CUAAGAAUAUUCCGCAAUGGACGGAAGUCUGACGGAGCGACGCCGCGUGGAUGACGAAGGCCGAAAGGUUGUAAAGUUCUUUUGCUGGGGAAGAAUAACCGCAGGAGGGAAUGCCUGUGGGAUGACAAGAACCGGCGAAUAAGCCCCGGCCAACUACGUGCCAGCAGCCGCGGUAACACGUAGGGGGCGAGCGUUGUUCGGAAUUACUGGGCGUAAAGGGCAUGUAGGCGGCUUGGAAAGCCUGGCGUGAAAGUCUGCAGCUUAACUGCAGGGGUGCGCUGGGAACUGCUGAGCUUGAGUGACGGAGAGNGAGCUGGAAUUCCUGGUGUAGGGGUGAAAUCUGUAGAUAUCAGGAAGAACACCGAUGGCGAAGGCAAGCUCCUGGCCGAUGACUGACGCUGAGGUGCGAAAGUGUGGGGAUCAAACA
rnacentral:rRNA from 1 species